AAAGAGUAGAGGUCGGGUAUAUGGUACGGCAGACUUGGCUGCUAACAUCUGCCAAGGAGUCUCUUCUCUCACCCAAGCCUCUGCGUCCGGCACUUCACAAUCUGGACAAGUGACUGAAAAUCAAAUGCUUCGUGCUGAACUUAGUAUGUGGAGUCAGAAGUAUGCACACCUGGAGGAUGAGCUGAAGGUUAUAAAAGAUAAACUUAUCUC
rnacentral:lncRNA from 1 species